rnacentral:rRNA from 1 species
UCGAGCGGUAGCACAGGAGAGCUUGCUCUCUGGGUGACGAGCGGCGGACGGGUGAGUAAUGUCUGGGAAACUGCCUGAUGGAGGGGGAUAACUACUGGAAACGGUAGCUAAUACCGCAUAACGUCUUCGGACCAAAGUGGGGGACCUUCGGGCCUCACGCCAUCAGAUGUGCCCAGAUGGGAUUAGCUAGUAGGUGGGGUAAUGGCUCACCUAGGCGACGAUCCCUAGCUGGUCUGAGAGGAUGACCAGCCACACUGGAACUGAGACACGGUCCAGACUCCUACGGGAGGCAGCAGUGGGGAAUAUUGCACAAUGGGCGCAAGCCUGAUGCAGCCAUGCCGCGUGUGUGAAGAAGGCCUUCGGGUUGUAAAGCACUUUCAGCGAGGAGGAAGGGUGGUGUGUUAAUAGCGCAUCACAUUGACGUUACUCGCAGAAGAAGCACCGGCUAACUCCGUGCCAGCAGCCGCGGUAAUACGGAGGGUGCAAGCGUUAAUCGGAAUUACUGGGCGUAAAGCGCACGCAGGCGGUUUGUUAAGUCAGAUGUGAAAUCCCCGCGCUUAACGUGGGAACUGCAUUUGAAACUGGCAAGCUAGAGUCUUGUAGAGGGGGGUAGAAUUCCAGGUGUAGCGGUGAAAUGCGUAGAGAUCUGGA